GCUUGCUUUGGCAGUGUAUGUACUAAAAUUGGGGAAUGAUACAGAGAAGAUUAUAACAGCCCCUGCAUGAGGAUGACACAUAAAUUUGUGGGGAAAAAAAAUAAGUAUCAUUUUUUU
rfam:Pteropus alecto contig54227, whole genome shotgun sequence.